rnacentral:rRNA from 1 species
UACGAAGGGGGCUAGCGUUGCUCGGAAUGACUGGGCGUAAAGGGCGCGUAGGCGGCUUGCACCAUCAGAUGUGAAAUUCCUGGGCUUAACCUGGGGGCUGCAUUUGAUACGUGUGGGCUUGAGUGCGGAAGAGGGUCGUGGAAUUCCCAGUGUAGAGGUGAAAUUCGUAGAUAUUGGGAAGAACACCGGUGGCGAAGGCGGCGACCUGGUCCGUGACUGACGCUGAGGCGCGAAAGCGUGGGGAGCAAACAGG